rnacentral:rRNA from 1 species
AGAGUUUGAUCAUGGCUCAGGAUGAACGCUGGCGGCGUGCUUAACACAUGCAAGUCGAACGAUCCUUCGGGAUAGUGGCGCACGGGUGAGGAACACGUAGCUAACCUGCCUCAGAGUACAGAAUAACUCCUCGAAAGAGGUGCUAAUACUGUAUAAGCUCACGAGUUGUAGAUGCUAGUGAGAAAAGAUUUAUCGCUUUGAGAGGGGGCUGCGGCCCAUCAGCUAGAUGGCGAGGUAAUGGCUCACCAUGGCAACGACGGGUAGGGGGUCUGAGAGGAUGAUCCCCCACACUGGGACUGAGACACGGCCCAGACUCCUACGGGAGGCAGCAGUGAGGAAUAUUGCACAAUGGGGGAAACCCUGAUGCAGCGACGCCGCGUGGGUGAUGAAGGCCUUCGGGUCGUAAAGCCCUUUUCUGUGUGACGAGCAAGGACGGUAGCACAGGAAUAAGCCUCGGCUAACUACGUGCCAGCAGCCGCGGUAAUUC